UGUUCGUCCUGGCGCAGACCUUUCCGUGGUCCUCGGGAUAAGUACUCUCCGGCUCAAGAAGAGGUAUCAGCGCUCAAUACAUGUAUACUGUGUUGGAUCCUGAUACGCUGUCGGUAGGGGAAACCAACAUGCGC
rnacentral:ribozyme from 1 species